AUUGAACGCUGGCGGCAUGCCUUACACAUGCAAGUCGAACGGUAACGCGGGGCAACCUGGCGACGAGUGGCGAACGGGUGAGUAAUGCAUCGGAACGUGCCCAGUAGUGGGGGAUAGCCCGGCGAAAGCCGGCUUAAUACCGCAUACGACCUACGGGUGAAAGCGGGGGAGCGCAAGACCUCGCGCUAUUGGAGCGGCCGAUGUCAGAUUAGGUAGUUGGUGGGGUAAAGGCCUACCAAGACUACGAUCUGUAGCUGGUCUGAGAGGACGACCAGCCACACUGGGACUGAGACACGGCCCAGACUCCUACGGGAGGCAGCAGUGGGGAAUUUUGGACAAUGGGCGCAAGCCUGAUCCAGCCAUGCCGCGUGCUGGAAGAAGGCCUUCGGGUUGUAAACCGCUUUUGUCAGGGAAGAAAUCUUCUGGGCUAAUACCUCGGGAGGAUGACGGUACCUGAAGAAUAAGCACCGGCUAACUACGUGCCAGCAGCCGCCGUAACAC
rnacentral:rRNA from 1 species